rnacentral:rRNA from 1 species
UACGUAGGGGGCAAGCGUUGUCCGGAUUUAUUGGGCGUAAAGCGCUCGCAGGUGGUUCGAUGCGUCGGGCGUGAAAGCCCCCGGCUCAACUGGGGAGUGUCGUGCGAUACGGUCGAACUGGAGGCCAGUAGGGGGAUGCGGAAUUCCGGGUGUAGUGGUGGAAUGCGUAGAGAUCCGGAGGAACACCAGCGGCGAAGGCGGCAUCCUGGACUGGUCCUGACACUCAUGAGCGAAAGCGUGGGGAGCGAGCCGG